AUUGAACGCUGGCGGCAUGCCUUACACAUGCAAGUCGAACGGCAGCACGGGAGCAAUCCUGGUGGCGAGUGGCGAACGGGUGAGUAACAUAUCGGAACGUGCCCAGUAGUGGGGGAUAACCCGGCGAAAGCCGGACUAAUACCGCAUACGACCUACGGGUGAAAGCAGGGGAUCGCAAGACCUUGCGCUAUCGGANCGGCCGAUAUCAGAUUAGCUUGUUGGUGGGUAAAAGCCGUACCAAGGCGACGAUCUGUAGCUGGUCUGAGAGGACGACCAGCCACACUGGGACUGAGACACGGCCCAGACUCCUACGGGAGGCAGCAGUGGGGAAUUUUGGACAAUGGGCGAAAGCCUGAUCCAGCCAUGCCGCGU
rnacentral:rRNA from 1 species